CCUGUAACUCUGCCUCCUCUGCCGAACCCGGGAACAAAUUGGCUAAUCCUAGCGCACCACAGCAAAAGGGGGCGGGGAGUGGCCCUCUCCUUAGCCCUGUCAGGCCCUGCUUCCCUAACCGGCUCAUUGGGUUCCAGCCUGUUACUCUUCACUGUCACCCCCUCCCUCUUUCUCUAUCAGAGAUAGGGAUGUGUGCCUGCUCCGACUCAGUAGCUCUGGACUUGUGCAAAGCCCUGUCUGAUACCCCCUGGCCAGCCAAGCCAGCACCUGUCUCCCUGUGAAUCUCAUUGCGCCCAUGACUGCUUCUUCUGCGACUGACUGCACCUUGCCCUCGCUCUCCACUGUAGAUGGGCAGCUGUCGGGAAAGUUACGGGAAAUAGAAUCAGUCACAUGAAUACCAGGAAAUAGAGUGCUCCAUGCAAGCAUUAAAACAAGGAGAUCUGCCAGGCCUUCUCCAAUUGAUAUCCCAGUCUGUCUUUCAAACCACUGCCCGGCUACUAGGCUAAAUAGUCCCUAGCAUCCUUAAAGCUGCUAAAAUUCCAGAUUGGAGAGUUGCUAAGCAAAAAGCUAAAUAAUUCCAAAGCAAAUAACAAAAAGAAGAUCGAUUGCAUUUUGUCUCAGAAUAUCACCAUCUACAUCAUUUUAAAAGUUAAUUUAAAGGUGAACUACCCCUUUAAUCAGACGCUUUAGUGAUAUUUUAUAUCACAAAUAAUUUCCAUCACUUUCCAAACAGGUUGAAGUUGUAUAUCAGUAUAGGUUAUUUGGGUAUCUGCCAAGCUGUGUACAAUUCAGUUUUUCCAUUCUGCCAGGAUAGUUUGGCUGAGUCAUAGACACGCAAGAUCCUUAAUAUAUGUUUCAUGUUGAGACAAUACGUGGUUGUGGUGCUUAAUUCUGCAUACUGUAGGAAGCAUUAUUUUAAAUUCUGACACACCUGCUAAUCUUGUAUCAUCUGUAGGGAAACUUUAAUGGCAAACUAUGUGCUUUUGAUUACAUAUCAUUAGACAAGAUUGUGACGUAUGAUACCGACUGUAAAUUCCACUAGGCCAGGACAAUUAGUCACAUAUGUUCAUUUUUAUAUUGAUAAAUACUGAUACGGGUGAAUUCCUACAGUCAUAUACAAUACGUCUAUUUAUAUGCAAGUUAUUUAGGAUAAUGUGUCACAACUGCAUUUGAAUGCAUUUAUUUUCAGUUUUGAAAUAAUCCCCGGCCCUCUGGUAGUGAUGAUAAGAAGUGAAUGGUUUCUGUCAAUUGACACAGUGCAGCCCUAAUAACUGGCUUAGUGAGAGUUCAAAUCUAUUUAUAAUGGUCAGAGAAGGAAUUUGGCUCCCCUUCACCAACACCAAUGUGGCUAAAUUAGCUGCUUAAGGGGGUUAUUUAUCAAAAGUCGAGUUUGUGAGUUUUUUUUGUACCUUGAAAAAACUCAAAUUUGUACAAUA